rnacentral:misc_RNA from 1 species
GAUGAAGAAACGUAGCGAAAUGCGAUAAGUAAUGUGAAUUGCAGAAUUCAGUGAAUCAUCGAAUCUUUGAACGCACAUUGCGCCCCUUGGUAUUCCGAGGGGCAUGCCUGUUCGAGCGUCAUUAUAACCCCUCAAGCUCAGCUUGGUGUUGGGGCCUGCUGCACUGGCAGCCCUUAAAAUCAGUGGCGGCGCCAUCUGGCUCUAAGCGUAGUAAUUCUUCUCGCUAUGGAGUCCUGGUGGAUGCUUGCCAUCAACCCCCAAUUUUUCUAUGGUUGACCUCGGAUCAGGUAGGGAUACCCGCUGAACUUAAGCAUAUCAAUAAGCGGAGGA